rnacentral:tRNA from 1 species
GGAGAGAUGGCUCAGUGGUUAAGAGCACUGGCUGCUCUUCCAGAGGACCUGGGUUCAAUUCCCAGAAUCCA